AGCGGCGGACGGGUGAGUAAUGCCUAGGAAUCUGCCCGAUAGUGGGGGACAACGUUUCGAAAGGAACGCUAAUACCGCAUACGUCCUACGGGAGAAAGUGGGGGAUCUUCGGACCUCACGCUAUCGGAUGAGCCUAGGUCGGAUUAGCUAGUUGGUGGGGUAAUGGCUCACCAAGGCGACGAUCCGUAACUGGUCUGAGAGGAUGAUCAGUCACACUGGAACUGAGACACGGUCCAGACUCCUACGGGAGGCAGCAGUGGGGAAUAUUGGACAAAGGGCGAAAGCCUGAUCCAGCCAUGCCGUGUGUGUGAAGAAGGUCUUCUGA
rnacentral:rRNA from 1 species